AGUAACACGUGGGUACCUGCCCAUAAACUGGGAUAACUCCGGGAAACCGGGGCUAAUACCGGAAAACAUUUUGAACUGCAUGGUUCGAAAUUGAAAGGCGGCUUCGGCUGUCACUUAUGGAUGGACCCGCGUCGCAAUAGCUAGUUGGUGAGGUAACGGCUCACCAGGGCAACGAUGCGUACCCCACCUGAGAGGGUGAUCGGCCACACUGGGACUGAGACGCGGCCCAUACUCCUACGGGAGGCAGCAGUAGGGAAUCUUCCGCAGUGGACGAAAGUCUGACGGAGCAGCGCCGCGUGAGUGAUGAAGGCUUUCGGGUCGUAAAACUCUUUUGUUAGGGAAGAACAAGUGCUAGUUGAAUAAACUGGCACCUUGACGGUACCUAACCAAAAUGCCACGGCUAACUACGUGCCAGCAGCCGCGGUAAUACGUAGGUGGCAAGCGUUAUCCGGAAUUAUUGGGCGUAAAGCGCGCGCAGGUGGUUUCUUAAGUCUGAUGUGAAAGCCCACGGCUCAACCGUGGAGGGUCAUUGGAAACUGGGAGACUUGAGUGCAAAAGAGGAAAGUGGAAUUCCAUGUG
rnacentral:rRNA from 1 species